rnacentral:lncRNA from 1 species
CUAGGAUGAACAGUAAAGUCAAACAAAUAAAAAAUAAAAUAAAAACAUCAUUUAUUUGUAUAUGUUCCUAUUAGUGUCGCGUAUGUUCAUGAAAAUUUGCAUAAAAAGUACAUUUAUUAUUGCUUGUUAAAAAACAGGAAGUUCAAUGUUUAAAAAGAAAGAAAACACUCUAACUUAUUUUUGUAGGAAAGGUCGCAAUACUUGUGCAUUUUCCAUAAAUAUUUGCAAACAAUCAGUGGGCAUAAAUACUACAUGUUUAUUUCUUUGACAUUCAAAAA